rnacentral:rRNA from 1 species
AGAGUUUGAUCAUGGCUCAGAACGUACGCUGGCGGCACGCCUUAUACAUGCAAGUCGAACGCAGUAGCAAUACUGAGUGGCAAACGGGUGAGUAUAAUGUGGGUAUCUGCCUUUUGGUUUGGAAUAACAUGAGGAAACUUGUGCUAAUACCGGAUAAGCCUUCACAGGGAAAGUUUUAUACGCCGAAAGAUGAGCCCGCACUUGAUUAGUUUGUUGGUGAGGUAAUGGCUCACCAAGACAAUUAUCAAUAGCUGGUCUGAGAGGACGAUCAGCCACAUUGGGACUGAGACACGGCCCAGACUCCUACGGGAGGCAGCAGUAAGGAAUCUUGCACAAUGGGGGAAACCCUGAUGCAGCGAUGCCGCGUGAGUGAAGAAGGCCCUUGGGUUGUAAAACUCUUUCGUCGGGGAAGAAAAUGACUGUACCCGAAUAAGAAGGUCCGGCUAACUUCGUGCCAGCAGCCGCGGUAAUACGAAGGGACCUAGCGUAGUUCGGAAUUACUGGGCUUAAAGAGCUCGUAGGUGGUUAAAAAAGUUGAUGGUGAAAUCCCAAGGCUCAACCUUGGAACUGCCAUCAAAACUUUUUAGCUAGAGUGUGAUAGAGGAAAGUGGAAUUUCUAGUGUAGAGGUGAAAUUCGUAGAUAUUAGAAAGAACACCAAAUGCGAAGGCAACUUUCUGGGUCACUACUGACACUGAGGAGCGAAAGCAUGGGUAG